GUCCUCGUAGCUCAGCGGAUAGAGCGCUUCCCUGCGGAGGAAGAGGUCAGAGGUUCAAAUCCUCUCGAGGACGCCA
rnacentral:tRNA from 1 species